UCGAUACACGGGAGGGCUGUA
rnacentral:siRNA from 1 species